AGUGAACGCUGGCGGUAGGCCUAACACAUGCAAGUCGAACGGCAGCACAGUAAGAGCUUGCUCUUACGGGUGGCGAGUGGCGGACGGGUGAGGAAUACAUCGGAAUCUACUUUUUCGUGGGGGAUAACGUAGGGAAACUUACGCUAAUACCGCAUACGACCUACGGGUGAAAGCAGUGGAUCUUCGGACCUUGCGCGAUUGAAUGAGCUGAUGUCGGAUUAGCUAGUUGGCGGGGUAAAGGCCCACCAAGGCGACGAUCCGUAGCUGGCCUGAGAGGAUGAUCAGCCACACUGGAACUGAGACACGGUCCAGACUCCUACGGGAGGCAGCAGUGGGGAAUAUUGGACAAUGGGCGCAAGCCUGAUCCAGCCAUACCGCGUGGGUGAAGAAGGCCUUCGGGUUGUAAAGCCCUUUUGUUGGGAAAGAAAAGCAGCAGGUUAAUACCCCGCUGUUCUGACGGUACCCAAAGAAUAAGCACCGGCUAACUUCGUG
rnacentral:rRNA from 1 species